UUUUUAAGUUUUAGUUUAUACAUAACACAUAUAUAUAUAUAUAUAUAUUUACCCAUAGUGUUGCGUUGGUGUUUCCUUUGAAUACACAUGGCAUUAAAUAGAGGUUAGAGAGGCACUAUCGUUAUAAGGAAAGAGUUGAUAAAAAAUUUAAUUGAAAGGAGUAUUUUUAUGGGGUGAAAAUAAAGUUUCUGUUAAUAAUUUGACUAGGUAUUUUAAAAAUAAUUCCUUAGAUUGACCUACCUUUGAGUUUAUUGAGGAAAGGCACUUUAAAUGGGCUCUACACCAGUAAAGGAUUUUUAGUAUAUUAUAGAAAUAUAGAAUAAGCAUGAGGAAAUUAGAAGAGAUAAAAAUUGGUGCCAGCAAUCGCGGUUAAACCAGUAUCAUCAAGCCAAUGGACUGAUAUCGGAUAAAAGUGAAGUAAAAAGUAAAACAGAUUAAUUUACAGUAGUAACGGUAAAAUGAGCUACAAAUAGUCGUGAGAGUGUUCGCGCGUGAACUAUCUUAAUUAUGGUUUUUACAACUUAGUCUAUCAAGGCUGCAGUUAAAGACAGGGACUAGUUCCCCUUUAUUAAAGCUUUUUAUUAGGUGUGCGGAGACUACGAGCAAAAAAGCUUAAAAACCAAAGGGGUUGGCGGCGUUUCAAAUCCGGUUAGGGGAACUUGGCGAUUAAAUUGAUGAACCUCGAAAAUUUUACCUUUAGUUUACCUUACAUACCGCCGUUGUGAUAGGCUUUUGUGAGAGAAGGGUUUUACUUAAUAUUUAUGAGUUAGAGUAAUUUAUUUUAAUAACUUUGUCUCUAUAGAAAUUCAGGUCAACGUGUAGGAUCUAAAGGGUUUAGCUGAGUUACAAUUUUUGUAAAAUAUGGAAUUAUAAAAUUAAGUUUAUAUAGAAAGUGGACUUAUUAGUAAAAUUUUAGUAUAAAUGAAGUUUGAAUAGUGUCAUGAAAUGCGUACAAAUCGCCCGGCGCCCUCACAUGUUGUAAGAUGAGGUAAGUCGUAACAUAGUAAUGCUAGUAGAAACUGGCGUUAAGUAAAUAGAUUAAUAAGAAUUAUAUUUUUAGGGAAUAUAACUAUAUAGGUUUUGGGAUAUACUUCGCUGGUAGAAGUUAACUUGAUUAAUAAGAUGAACAAUACUAAAGAAGAUUAAACUAUGUUUAAAAAUCU
rnacentral:ncRNA from 1 species